UUCGGUGGUAACAGCCUCUCUUGAAACACGAAAUCGAGAAAUUGCCUACUACUGCGGUGAGUCUCGCUACCCGUGAUAACGUUGUUCUCCCGACCCCGCUGUCAUUUCGUAAACAACGGGGAUUGAAAGUUGCUUCUUCGACCAUAAACAGUAUCCUCCCCUGGAUGAUUCACGGGUUGCUUUUGAGUGUCUAAAUGCGCUCUUAAGUUGUCGCGGUUAACUCAAGCCGCAAGCCGCCCACCCGCCGUGGGUACGCGUGCUUUCCCGUGUAGGUUGGCAGGGGCGUUUCGAGGAAACCUCGAGGAAGAUUUCUGGUGCCCGUGAAAUAGCUGUGGGGUGGCGGUUCACCCAUCAAGAAGGAUUUACUCAUAUGGAUGUUUGGAUAUUUAUUCGCACUUUAUUCGUCUGUCACCGUUGCGCGCAGAAGAAGAUCUUCGAGGGGAACACACACUUCGACACGCCCGAGAUCCGACGCUGGCAUCGGCAUGAGGAUGGAGGUGCUGGGCUGUGACCUGUCAGAUCUUCGAGGGGAACACACACUUCGACACGCCCGAGAUCCGGUGCUUCAACGAGACGGUGGCCCAGUUCGUCCGCGUCU